rnacentral:sRNA from 1 species
UGGUAGAUGCACCUUGAUCUUCAAUCCCCCUAGUUGAACAAAAUUCACUAGGGGUUUUCUUU